AUUUAUAUAGUUUAAAAAAAAACAAUACAUUUUCAUUGUAUAAAUAAUAUACCUUAUAUUUAUAAAUA
rnacentral:tRNA from 1 species